CUCGUAGGUGGCCAACUAAGUCAGACGUGAAAUCCCUCGGCUUAACCGGGGAACUGCGUCUGAUACUGGAUGGCUUGAGGUUGGGAGGAGGGAUGCGGAAUUCCAGGUGUAGCGGUGAAAUGCGUAGAUAUCUGGAGGAACACCGGUGGCGAAGGCGGCAUCCUGGACCAAUACUGACACUGAGGAGCGAAAGCCAGGGAGCAAACG
rnacentral:rRNA from 1 species